rnacentral:rRNA from 1 species
AACCUGCCUUGUAGCGGGGGAUAACUAUUGGAAACGAUAGCUAAUACCGCAUAACAAUGGAUGACACAUGUCAUUUAUUUGAAAGGAGCAAUUGCUCCACUACAAGAUGGACCUGCGUUGUAUUAGCUAGUAGGUGAGGUAAUGGCUCACCUAGGCGACGAUACAUAGCCGACCCGAGAGGGUGAUCGGCCACACUGGGACUGAGACACGGCCCAAACUCCUACGGGAGGCAGCAUG